rnacentral:tRNA from 1 species
GCCUGGGUGGUUUGAUUGGUUAAGCAUCUGACUUCAGCUUAGGUCAUGAUCUCAUGGUUCGUGGGUUCGAGCCCCACAUUGGGCU